GCAAAGAACUUUGAAGAGAGAGUUCAAGAGACGUGAAACUGCUCAGAGGGAAACGGGUGGGUCUUCGAAGUCCUGUGUCGAGGGGGAUCAGUCCCGUGCCGUUGUAGCAGAUGGAAUGGAGAUUCUCCAGAAGAAGCCAUUCCGUUGAGUCCUUGCACGGUACGGGAUGCACUUUCUCUCGUCCAAAGGACGCCGCAGCCGGUCGGGUAGUGCAAUCAAGACGGCCUGGAGGGCGGACGAAGGCAGGUGGCCGGGAGAGGGCUUCCGUUCGCUUCCGGUUGUUAGCCUGUCCGCCAGUGGCUCGUCACCCGACCGAGGUGACACGAAACCCACAUGGGUCGUUACAUCUCCACCCCCUGGAAGUCGGACCGGUUUCUCGCAGGUCAGUGUCGUCUUUCUGUAGCGUUUCUCCGAAACGGACGCAAUUGCGACGUUUUCCCUUGGCGAGAGCGGAUCCGUUGGAGGUCGGAGGCUGGCGGCGAGUAGGUCGAUAUCCCACCCGACCCGUCUUGAAACACGGACCAAGGAGUCUAACAUGUGCGCGAGUCAGUGGGUCUUGACCAGGCCCAGUGGCACAACGAAAGCAAAAUUCGACGUAGGUCGAAUGUGUUGGGAUCUCUUCCCGCACGGAGGAGCGCACCAACGGCCCGCCCCUUCCGCUUUGACGGUGGGGCGGAGCGUGAGCGCACACGUUGGGACCCGAUGGACGGUGACCUAUGCCCGGGCAGGACGAAGCCAGAGGAAACUCUGGUGGAGGUUCGAAGCGGUUCUGACGUGCAAAUCGAUCGUCAGACCCAGGUAUAGGGGCGAAAGACUAAUC
rnacentral:rRNA from 1 species